CGAGUGAGUCACACUCACUCACUCACUCUCUCCCUCUCCAACCCCAAAACACAAACCACCAAAAUUCACCAUCUUCCUUCUUUCCAUCUAUCUUUCUUUCUUUUCUUUUCUGCAAUAUUACUUACACGCUUCUAUCUUUAUAUCUUUAUAACCCUAAAAUAAAAACUGCCCCUUUUUUUUUUUAAUUCCUUUUCAAUUAAUAUCCAACAGCCCAUAUCUCUCCACGUUUCAAUCACUCAUCGUCAUCAACACAAUUUGAUUUCCUUAUUAUAAGAUCCCUUUUCUAGGGUUUUCCUCACACACUCAAAAUUCAUGAAAAAUUAAACAAAUUGAUUGGAUUUUACUCAUCUUUUGAGCUUCAGAUUUGUGGGUUUAGCUUAAUUAAGGGUUUGUGUGAUGAAUUGAGGAAAUCUUGAUAAAAAUCUUGGAUUUUUGGAUGGCGAUUGAAAAGAAUAGUUUUAAAGCUGUGUUAAGUAGUAGAUUAGAUUCCGAGUUUUCGUAUCGAACUAAGGAAGAAAGUAUGUCUAGUGAGGAUGUCGUUGAGUUUGGUAAAAGAGAGUUAGAUGAGGAAGAUGAUGAUUUUGAUGAUUGUGAUUCGGGUGCGGGUUCGGAUGAUUUCGAUUUGCUUGAGUUGGGUGAGACGGGCGAGGAGUUUUGUCAAAUCGGGGAUCAAACGUGUAGCAUUCCUUUUGAGUUGUAUGAUCUUUCAGGGUUAGACGAUAUUUUGUCGAUGGAUGUUUGGAACGACAUUUUGACAGAAGAUGAACGGUUAGGUCUGACGAAGUAUCUUCCUGAUAUGGACCAGGAACAUUUUAUGAGAACGAUGAAGGAGCUUUUCACGGGGAGUAAUUUUCAUUUUGGGGUUCCGGUAAAUAAGCUUUUCGAGAUGUUGAAAGGAGGUUUAUGUGAACCACGAGUUUCACUUUACCGACAAGGGCUUGGGUUUUUUCAGAAACAACGACAUUAUCAUGUAAUAAGAAAGCAUCAGAACACCAUGGUUAAUAACCUAGUUCAGAUACGGGAUGCUUGGUCAAAGUGUCGUGGUUAUAGUAUUGAGGAAAAGCUUCGUGUUUUGAAUAUCAUGAAAAGUCAAAAGAGCUUGAUGUAUGAAAAAAUGGAAGAAUUGGAAACUGAUUCUUCAGAAGAAUCCGCAGAUGGUGUGUGGAGCAAUAAGAAAAUAAAAGAUCAUCAACAGAAGCUGGGUCAGGGCCAGGGUCAGCUUCAGGGACAGGGCCGGGCUCAUUAUCCCGGAUAUCAUACUGGUCAAACAUUAGCUUUUGAACCUGUGAAUUUUGGGAAGCCAAAUUCGAAAGGAACCCUAAAGGUUGCAGGCUCAAAAAUGUCUAUAACCAAAGAACAAGGCCCAUAUUCUUCUAUUGAAAUAAAAUCCGGGCCUUCAGGCUCAUCACCGUUUAAUCAUAAACAGACGAGAGAUUAUGAAGAAAAAUCAAUGUAUGAUGCUACUGUUCAUCGAGAUUUUAAUAUGAUAGAUAAAAUGGGGAAGAAGUAUAAAGGGUUUAGAGGUGAAGAAUAUCCUGAAUCAUUCAUUGGUUUGCCUGUGCCGUUGCAGACUGAUAUACAUACUUUUGGUAGGAAUCGGACUGUAAAUCAGUUGUCAGACAUUAAAGUGUUGACUGCAAAACCAUCCAACUCAAGAUAUCAGUAUGAUUAUGGCAAGAAGGUCAAACGCCCAGAGAAUAUUCAGAAAAUUGGUGUAGGUGAUGCAUUCAAGUACAGGAAUCCAGGAGGCAUAAAUCUUUCACAGAUAGAUAACCAACAAGAUAUGUAUCCCGCUGGUGAACCAAUUUGGCACAAUCAAUUACAAGGAGAACCCAUAGAUGUUCCGUACAGGCCGGGGAUGAAGAAAGGCAGGCAUGUUUCUACACAAAACGGAGGACGAGUGGUGAUCGCUGCAGAAGGAAUGAAAAUGUUAGCAAAAGGUGAGGAAACAGAGUCGGAUUCAUCUGAGCAAUAUGCUGAAGAUGAUGAUGAUAAUCCUUUAAUGAGAAGCAAGUGGGCUUACCCUAGUGGUGUAUCUGGGAAAUCUGCCCCAAAUAAUAAAAAAUCCAAAGUUGGUGGUAAGAAGAAUUACAAGACCAAUAAAGAGUUUGACGGGUCAGCUCAAAGUUCAAGAAUAAAUGGUGAUUUUCGUGACAAACAGAAGGGUAAAACACAUGGUAGCAUUUUAGUGAAUGAUUUUAAUGGUGAUGGUCAUAUUGAAGGUAUGUUUCAAGCACCCUUGAGAAAUACAUAUCCCAGUGGGAAGAAGCAGAAAGGGGAAUUCGUGCAUGACUAUUUUGCCCUUCCACCAACACACAUAAACAGUUAUGUUCCUGAUGAACCUGGAAAGUUUUCUAAAAAAAGUCAAAUGAGGGAAGCAUAUGGUCAAGGUCGUCAUGAAAUGGUGGAUGUAAGAUUGUUAGGGUGCAAUUUGGGAUCCAAGAAGCGUAAAGUAAAAGAUGAAUUAAUAUACUUGGAUGAUUACGAUUACCAAGGUCAUGGUCAAGGUCAAUAUGAUGAUGGCGGGUAUGUGAAAAGUGCUGGGAAAAGGAAAUGGGCAGAGGAGAUUCCUUUUGAAAGUGUAAUUUCUGAGGCACCUGUUAUGGACACAACAGAGGAAGAUGCAGAGUUGGAAAUCAAAACACAUAAAAAACCAUUCAUUUUAAUAACACCCACUGUUCACACAGGUUUUUCUUUCUCGAUUAUACACCUACUGUCGGCUGUAAGAAUGGCAAUGGUCACUCUGCUUCCGGAAGAUACCGGAAAUGAUGAUAAUAAACAAGAAGUUGCUAAUGGAGAUCAAGGUGUAACUACUUCUGAUGCUAUUGCAAACCCAAAAGUCCCUUCUUUGACAGUUAAGGAUGUAGUCAACCGUGUGAGGUCAAACCCUGGAGACCCGUGUAUUCUUGAAACACAAGAACCACUUCAAGAUCUGGUGAGAGGGGUUCUGAAGAUAUUUUCUUCAAAAACCGCUCCUUUGGGAGCAAAGGCAUGGAAGGCACUUGUGUUAUAUAAUAAGUCAAGUAAAAGCUAUUCGUGGGUUGGGCCUGUUUCUCAGAUUUCAUCAGAUCACGAGAUUGUUGAGGAGGUAACAUCUCCAGAAUCUUGGGGUCUUCCUCACAAAACGCUUGUGAAAUUGGUGGACUCGUUUGCUAAUUGGCUUAAAAGUGGUCAAGAAACGCUGCAGCAAAUCGGGAGUCUUCCUCCUCCUCCUUUAGCUUUAAUGCAACAAAAUUUGGACGAAAAAGAGCGAUUUCGAGACUUGCGAGCGCAGAAAAGUCUCAACACGAUAAGCCCAAGCUCUGAUGAGGUUCGAGAUUAUUUCCGAAAAGAAGAAGUUCUUAGAUAUCUAAUACCUGACCGGGCUUUUGCAUAUACAGCAGUUGAUGGUAAAAAGUCAACUGUUGCUCCAUCAAGAAAGGGUGCAGGAAAACCGACUUCCAAAGCACGUGACCAUUUUAUGCUGAAAAAGGAUCGACCGCCCCAUGUGACCAUUCUUUGCCUGGUUCGAGACGCGGCUGCACGGCUACCUGGGAAUAUUGGGACACGGGCAGAUGUUUGUACGUUAAUUCGGGACUCCCAAUAUAUAGUAGAAGACGUGUCUGAUGCUCAAGUUAAUCAAGUGGUUAGUGGUGCAUUGGACCGUUUGCAUUAUGAACGGGAUCCAUGUGUUCAGUUUGACGGGGAAAGGAAGUUAUGGGUGUAUUUGCAUAGGGACAGAGAAGAAGAAGAUUUUGAGGAUGAUGGAACUUCGUCCACUAAAAAAUGGAAACGACAAAAAAAAGAACCAGUUGAGCCAUCUGAUCCCGGUGUGGUUACUUUGGCUUGUCAAGGAACCGGUGAGCAAAGUGGGUUUGAUUUGAGUUCUGACCAGAACAAUGAACUACCUGGCAUCAAUGAUGCUCGUGGGUUGGAUUUGCGUUCUGACCUGAAUGCUGAACCUUCUGGCAUCAAUGAUGCUUGUGGGUUGGAUUUGCGUUCUGAUCUGAAUGCUGAACCUUCUGGCAUCAAUGAUGCUCGUGGGUUAGAUCUGAGUUCUAAACUGAACGUUGGACCGUCUGGUAUAAGUGAAGCUUGUGGGUUGAAUUUAAGUUCUGUCAGGAGUGUUGAACCGUCUGGCCUUAGUGAAACUCGUGGGUUGGAUUUGAGUUCUGACCUGAAUAUUGAACCGCCGGGCAUCAACGAAGCUAAUGGCGUAGAUUUGAGUUCUGACCUGAAUGUUGAACCUUCUGGCAUCAAUGAAGCUCAUGGGUUGGAUAACGUGUUAUCAUGUCAAAAGAAUUCUACUGAUCAAGACAAUGAUGAUGGCCAUGAGGCAGAUGUUGUUGAGCUCCUGAACACGAGUGUAUCUUGAUUAAUUUUCCUAAGGUAUGAAAUCAACUCGAGACAUGAUUUGUGAGCCGUGUGAUAAUAAAAUGCACAGAAACGGAUGGAUUUUUGACAUAGAAGAGUACAAGGAUGUGGCUUUCUGAAAAGGAAAAAACAGCAACUAAAUCUGCUGACAUGGCACUAUCACAUCUUAUGGUUUUAACAAAUGAGCUCGAACUCAACUUAUUAAAAGCUCGAUUCAAGACGAGCUUAUACAGUUCGAGCCUUAUUUAAAUCUUGUUCAAAUAAGCGAGCGCGAGCUUUAGACACCAACCUCGAUUAGGCUUACAAGCUUUUUGUUUACAUGUAUAUAUAUAAAAUGUAAUAUAUUAUUACAUAGUUACGUAUUAUAUAUGUACCGAAAUGUAACAUAGUAUAUCAGAGAGGAUAAAUGUAUCAUUGAUUUUGAUUAUAUUACCAUAUUGUACAAUUUUCACAAUAGAUUGUA